UGAAAUUCAGUUGAUAUGAUUGUCAUGACUCCAUGUGUGCUGUAGAUCACACAUGUAAUUCAUCUGUAAUCCAUUACCAUUUUCCAGUCUCCCCUUCUGAAAUCUUUGCCUUUCCCUCUUUCAUACCUGCACCCAAUAAAUUGAUCCUUAAUGGUUAUUUAGAAAAGUCUCUUUGCUUUAUUUUUUCCAUUUCUGUGACCAGGUGUCACUUCUGAUCUUUAGCAGCCUACAUCAGGACUAAGUUGAGAAGAAGUAAACUAAUAGAUGUCUGUGCCAUCAGAUGUGUAUUUAAUUCUUACCACAAUCCUGUAAAAUUGGUGUAUCUACAUUUUUCAGAGUGUGAAAACCAGACAGGCCCUUUCAAGUGUCUUAUACUGCUGAGGUAUAAAGACUCUGUGCUCUGAGUCUUUUCUUUCCUUGAUACCUAGGUUACCUAGGAUACCUAGGAUACCUAGGUUAUCUCCCUAAAAUAUAACUUUAAGUAUAACUUAGUAAAACAAGCUUUUCAGAGGCUUUACAUCAUUCAACAUGUGGUACAUGUUAUUUUGUAUUAUUUCCUUGUGAAAUGAGUGAUUUAUAAUGACUUAUAUUUUCCAUUAAACCAUUUAUAAACACUCAAUAUUCAUGACUCUCCAUGUUUCAUGCUAUGGCUUUAUUAUGUCCAUGUAAUCAUUGGGCUCAAUGUAAACUGGAGUUUACCCCAAGCCAGGUGAACUUCAUGGUCCUGUACAGGUACAAGUUCCAUUUCUCCACCAUGUCUGGUCAGAGCACAGCUCUCCUUUCUUUUCUUUUCU